rnacentral:rRNA from 1 species
GUACGGGGGGGCAAGCGUUGGUUCGGAAUUACUGGGCGUAAAUGGGCGUCGUAGGCGGCCCAACGUAAGUCGGAUGUGAAAUCCCCAAGCUUAACCUGGGAACUGCAUCCGAUACUGGAUGGCUUGAAUCCGGGAGAGGGAUGCAGAAUUCCAGGUGUAGCGGUGAAAUGCGUAGAUAUUCGCAAGAACACCAGUGGCGAAGGCGGCUCACUGGCCCGGAACUGACGCUGAGAUGCGAAAGCGUGGGGAGCAAACAGGGAUUAAGAAACCCUGGUAACGUCCAGCAACC